rnacentral:rRNA from 1 species
GACGAACGCUGGCGGCGUGCCUAAUACAUGCAAGUAGAACGCUGAAGAGAGGAGCUUACUCUUCUUGGAUGAGUUGCGAACGGGUGAGUAACGCGUAGGUAACCUGCCUUGUAGCGGGGGAUAACUAUUGGAAACGAUAGCUAAUACCGCAUAACAAUGGAUGACACAUGUCAUUUAUUUGAAAGGGGCAAUUGCUCCACUAAAAGAUGGACCUGCGUUGUAUUAGCUAGUAGGUGAGGUAAUGGCUCACCUAGGCGACGAUACAUAGCCGACCUGAGAGGGUGAUCAGCCACACUGGGACUGUGACACGGCCCAGACUCCUACGGGAGGCAGCAGUAGUGAUUCUUCGGCAAUGGGGGCAACCCUGACCGAGCAACGCCGCGUGAGUGAAGAAGGUUUUCGGAUCGUAAAUCUCUGUUGUAAGUCAAGAACGGGUGUGAGAGUGGAAAGUUCACACUGUGACGGUAGCUUACCAGAAAGGGACGGCUAACUACGUG